rnacentral:rRNA from 1 species
UACGGGGGGGGCAAGCGUUGUUCGGAAUUACUGGGCGUAAAGGGCUCGUAGGUGGCCAACUAAGUCAGACGUGAAAUCCCUCGGCUUAACCGGGGAACUGCGUCUGAUACUGGAUGGCUUGAGUUUGGGAGAGGGAUGCGGAAUUCCAGGUGUAGCGGUGAAAUGCGUAGAUAUCUGGAGGAACACCAAUGGCGAAGGCAGCUCGCUGGGACGUGACUGACGCUGAGACGCGAAAGCGUGGGGAGCAAACAGG